GACGUAGGGCGCGAGCGUUGUCCGGAUUUAUUGGGCGUAAAGAGCUCGUAGGCGGCUUGUCGCGUCGACUGUGAAAGCCCGCGGCUCAACCGCGGGUCUGCAGUCGAUACGGGCAGGCUAGAGUUCGGUAGGGGAGACUGGAAUUCCUGGUGUAGCGGUGAAAUGCGCAGAUAUCAGGAGGAACACCGGUGGCGAAGGCGGGUCUCUGGGCCGAUACUGACGCUGAGGAGCGAAAGCGUGGGGAGCGAACAGG
rnacentral:rRNA from 1 species